GACGUAGGGCGCGAGCGUUGUCCGGAUUUAUUGGGCGUAAAGAGCUCGUAGGCGGCUUGUCGCGUCGACUGUGAAAUCCCACGGCUCAACUGUGGGCUUGCAGUCGAUACGGGCAGGCUGGAGUUCGGUAGGGGAGACUGGAAUUCCUGGUGUAGCGGUGAAAUGCGUAGAUAUCUGGAGGAACACCGGUGGCGAAGGCGGCAUCCUGGACCGAGAUUGACGCUGAGGCGCGAAAGCCAGGGGAGCAAACGGG
rnacentral:rRNA from 1 species